rnacentral:rRNA from 1 species
UUACUCUUCGGAGUGAGAGCGUACACAGGUGCUGCAUGGCUGUCGUCAGCUCGUGUCGUGAGAUGUUGGGUUAAGUCCGCAACGAGCGCAACCCUGCAUUCAGUUGCCAUCGGUAAGGCCGGGCACUCUGGAUGGACUGCCGGCGACAAGCCGGAGGAAGUGGGGACGACGUCAAGUCAUCAUGGCCCUUAUGUCCAGGGCGACACACGUGCUACAAUGGCCGGCACAACGGGAAGCGAAGGGGCGACCCUGAGCGGAUCCCACAAAAGCCGGUCUCAGUUCGGAUUGCAGUCUGCAACUCGACUGCAUGAAGUUGGAAUCGCUAGUAAUCGUGGAUCAGCCAAGCCGCGGUGAAUACGUUCCCGGGCCUU